UUGGGACUUUAUCUCCGGAUGCAUGCCUAAUUCUAGGUGUAGUCGGUAAACGAAUCCCAUAUAUUAACGUUAAACAUCUUUGCAGAAGGGUUAAAACUCACUAUUUUAUUCCAACGUAUUAACUUCCUUUUGAAGAUGUUUUACAUUC
rnacentral:snoRNA from 1 species